rfam:Oryza sativa Japonica Group DNA, chromosome 12, cultivar: Nipponbare, complete sequence.
UUUAAACGCUACUAUAAGUUUUCGUGUCCAAUUUUGAUCGUCCAUCUUAUUUUAAAAAAUUGAUUAAUAUUUUUUUAUUAUUAGAUGAUAAAAUAAAAAUAGUAUUUUAUGUGUGACUUAUGUUUUUUAUUUUUUAAAAUUUCUUUAAAUAAAACGAACGAUUAAAGUUGGAUAUAUAAACUCAUGACUGCACUUGAA